rnacentral:misc_RNA from 1 species
UACAGAGACCUCAAGCGUUGUCCGGAUUUAUUGGGCGUAAAGAGUGCGUAGGUGGUUAGUUAAGUCAAUGGUCAAAUCUUGGGGCUCAACCCCAAAACCGCCAUUGAAACUGGCUGACUAGAGGCUGGAAGAGGCAAACGGAAUUGCUGGUGUAGGGGUAAAAUCCGUUGAUAUCAGCAGGAACACCAAAUGCGAAAGCAGUUUGCUGGGACAGUUCUGACACUGUUGCACGAAAGCGUGGGGAUCAAAGAGG